UAAAAAAUUUCAGAAAUAUUUUUGCGUUUUCUUUGCAUAUCAUACACAUACACACACACACAUACAUACAUACACAGUCACACUAGAACUGUACUGGCAGUGAACAUAGGUUGUUUAAAGUAUAGCUAUUCAACUGUCAUAUAAAGUGAAAUCUAUAUUUUCUCUCUCCCUAUAUGACUAUAUAUUUAACAUCUCUAUGCAUAUGUGUGUGCAUACAUAUGUAUAUGUUAUAUACACACACUCCACAUUAUUAUUUCAAAGGGGAUUUUGCUCCUUCUGGCUACCAGCAAUAACUAGUCAAUAUUUACACUCUUGAAUAUCGAUGACAUCAUGCAUACACAGGAAAGCUGUGGAAAACAUCUCCAUUUUCAAACAGAGUUUUAAUUAUUUGUAAAGACUUCAAUUGUUCACUAAUGUCAUGGAUUGGUCCUCACAGUGUGAAGUGCAACUGCCCAGAUCCCCCACAGUAUUAUAAAUAGUCUUCUAAAGCCGGGUUGAUUGAUGUUUGGCAUAAAACUCUAUUCCUCUGAGCACAUAUAUUCCUUCUGUUCACUAUUUUCAUAGAAAAAUACCAGGGCUGAUUUUUUAUUCAAAUCUCCAAUUUAUGCAGGGUUUAAACUACUAAAUACUUAAAGCCGUUUUCAGAUCUUUCCCCCCUUUUCUGUUAGGUAGGUAACUAAAUCUUUGGCUUCAAUGCAAAUAAGAAUUGGAGAUUUAGCAGAUUCCUGUGGGGGAGAGGAAGAGUUUAUUAAUUAUAUUGAGAAUCAAAUAAUAUGCUUCUUUGACACUAAUGUUCCAUCUUUCUCCACCCCAAGUAUCCUAUGGGACAACUUUAAAGCCUUUAUCAGGGUCUAAAUUACUGCAUUUAUGGUUCCUUAGAAGUAGGAAUUUAAUGAAUGGCAUUCUGAGUUGAAGAGAGAAUUUGAAGGUUUAAGCUGCAACGGUGAAGCAAUUUUUUUCAAAGUAUGUGGCAGGGAUUGUAAUAUAAAACAUCAAAAAAAGCACAAUAAAAUACAUUUUCAUGAGUGUUAAUAAAUUUUUAAUACUGAUGAAAUGUAAAUUUUUCCUUCAUGACCCUUAUCUGCAUUUGACAGAGUCCAACAGAAAAUUUUAAGUACCUGUUUAAAGCAAUUUACAAGAUACUGUGGAGAUUCCCAGCAAUAAAGAAUGAAUUGAAUGGAAUGUGAAUCUACACUCAGGUGAAGCCAGGGUAUUUUGAACGUCCCUACAAGACUGAAGCACCACUGGGAAAUAAGUAAUAGAGAUGCCAUCAUUGUGGAGGUCAUAAUGCUUGUCCUGAACACGAGGGGUCUCUAGUGAGGCACCAAUUCAGCUCCUCUUCUGUGGAGAGACUACAUGGGUGCUGAAGAAACAAAGACACAACGCAGCUCCUCUCAAAGGAGUUCAGAGCUUAGCAGGGGAGACAGAACCAUGAAUGCAUAGUUACGCAUCAAUGUGCUGCACGAGCACUGAAGCCCAAGCACAAGCGGCCUGAGUCCCAAAAACAUUUGCUGACUGCUGUUCUAUCUAGGAUAUCAUCAGUGUGUAGAUGAUCAGAGUUCAUGUCAGUGUUCCUACAAGCCAAUGAAGAAAAACAGAGAUCUGUGUUCUGAAUGGAAAAAUUCCUACUGAUGCCAGUAAGUGAGCCAUCCAUCUAUGAUGUGUCUAUGGGGAAGAAAGUGACAUGAAUGAGUAAAAUAGAAUAUAUGCUUUAAAUCAUGAAAAUUGAGUCCAGAUGGAAAGGUUAGGAGGAAAUGGAGUGGAAAGGUGGAUGAAGAAGAGUGAGAACUCAUGCAGUCGUUGCGACUUGGUUGACACUUCCUUCCCUGUGACUACAAUUCCAAGUUCAGUACUCCUGAGCUUUUAUAGAUGGAUGAGAAUAUAGGGGGAAGAAACAAGAGGAAGGAGUUUUCUGAAAUCUCGGUGGAGAGGAGGGAGAAAAAAGAUGGGAAAAUGUUACAAGCAUUCUGUUCAUGUUGUAUCACUUAGUGCAGUCUUGUCUUCCCAGCCCACUAGUCUGGAACAAGUCAGUCUCAAACAUAACAACAGACACUGGGGAGCUCUCCAACAAAAGAUCACCUCCCAAAGAACAGGAUGGUGUCGAAGACUGAAUGCCAGCCUGAGGAAACAGAAAUACUACAGAAGCACGCCAGAGCCUGCAGUGUCUCCUCGCUGCCUCUCAAUGAACUGCUAAAAGACCAAGAACUCUGCUGAGAGAUAAGAAGAGGGGAGGGUGUGCUGCAGGUGGUGCUGGGAGGCCCAGACCUUCUCCUGACAUCUGGGGCUGGCUACAGGAAACAGAAACAUCACCCAGGCCUUGGCGCGAGACAGGACAGAGGCAGAUUGUGACUCAGAUCUGCAGGUGGAAAGUGGGCCUUUCGUUUUCUCCUAGGGGUAGAGCAAAGCCAGAGGGCUCAGUCAGAGGAAACCUAAGGCAGUUCAUGAUCCCUUCAACUUUAUACCAUUUCCUCAAAACUGCCUCCAAACAGUGGGCAACUGGAAAGGUGGUCUGACCUCCAGUGAUCACACAGUAUGCAUUAUAACAGAAGGCUGUCACUGUCAAUUGCAUGGCUCCCUCACUAUGCAUUCCUUCUAUCAAUUUACGACAACACACUGUAGUGAGUACCUGCACAUUGCUGGGUAUUUUGGCAGACAUUGAUAGUAGAUGAAUAACACCUGGUACUUGACCUUGAGACGCUCACUGCCUAGUGUGGGGAACCAAUGGUUGCAAUAUAAAGUAUUAACUAGAGGGAUAGAGGACUGCCUGAGGAUCUCUGCACUCAGAGGAAGGGCCAUGAGAUCAGCCAGGACAGUAGGGAGGCAGUGACUCAUGAAAUUAGCAAGUGGUGAGAAGAGGGCAGUAGAUUCAGCGGCUGCUAAAAAAGGUUACUGAACUUUUUGUUUCAUCAAUGCCAAGAAAUUAAUCUGUUUUAGCCUCUUUCAUGGCCUCUGUUUGAAAUUUUUUAACUUUUUUUUUUUUUUUAGAUUUAGGGGUACAAGGACAGUUGUAUUGCAUGAGUAUAUCAUAUAGUGGUGAAGCCUGGGCUUUAAGUGCACCUAUCACCCGAAUAGCGUACAUUGUACCCACUAGGUAGUAUUUCAUUUCUCACCCUUCUUCCACCUUUUGGAAUCUCCAGUGUUUGUUGUUCUACUCUGUAUGCCCAUGUGUACUCAUUGUUUCACUCCCACUUAUAAGUGAGAACAUGUGCUUUUGACUUUCUGUUUCUGAGUUGUUUCACUUAGGAUAAUGCAUGUUCCUGUUUUGAUUCAGUCAAAAUCCUGGGGUCAGCACUGACAAUGUGAUUAACCCCUGUCCUAAAUUCACUGCAGAGGAACUGCUCCCAUAUGACUACUUAUUACCACCCAAGCCAGAAACCACAAAGAUAUUCUGACCUCUCCUCCUUCACUCCCCACCAACUGGUGAGUAAGCUAGUCACCAAGUCUUGAUUCUACUUGCAAACAUCUUUGGAAGGGAUCUCUCACUCCACACAGUCUCUGUCAUUGCCAAGUAUACCCAUUACCUCUGCUCUGUCCUACGGCUCAUCAUUCCUCAUCUACAUGCUGCACCAACCUCCUAACUCCCAUUCCUCCCCCUCCUAGUUCACUGCCAUAGCGUAAUCUUUCUAUAUCACGGAUCAUAUUGUGUCCGAAAUUGGUGGGUUCUUGGCCUCACUUACUUCAAGAAUGAAGCUGCAGACCCUCGUGGUGAGCGUUACAGUUCUUAAAGGUGAUGUGUCUGGAGUUUGUUCCUUCUGAUCAUGUUCGGAGUUUCUUCCUUCUGGUGGGUUCGUGGUCUCGUUGGCUUCAAGAGUGAAGCUGCAAACCUUCAAGGUGAGUGUUACAGCUCUUAAGGCAGCGCAUCUGGAGUUGUUUCUUCCUCCCGUCCGGAGUUGUUCAUUCCUGCUGGUGGGCUCAUGGUCUCGCUGGCCUCAGGAGUGAAGCUGUAGACCUUCGCAGUGAGUAUUACAGCUCAUAAAGGCACUGUGGACCCAAAAAGUGAGCAGCAGCAAGACUUAUUGCAAAGAGCAAAAGAACAAAGCUUCCACCCUGUGGUAGGUGACCCAGUGGGUUACCACUGCUGGUUCCAGCAGCCUGCUUUUAUUCCCUUAUCUGGUCCACCCACAUCCUGCUGAUUGGUCCAUUAUACAGAGAGCUGAUUGGUCUGUUUUACAGACAGCUGAUUGGUCUGUUUUGACAGGGUGCUGAUUGGUGUGUUUAUAAUCCCUGAGCUAGACACAAAAGUUCUCCAAGUCCCCACUAGAUUAGCUAGACACAGAGCACUGAUUGGUGCAUUCAUAAACCUUGAGCUAGACACAGAGUGCUGAUUGGUGUAUUUACAAUCCCUUAGCUGGACAUAAAGGUUCUACAAGUCCCCACUAGACUGAGGAGCCCAGCUGGCUUCACCUAGUGCCUCCUGCACCAGGGCCGCAGGUGGAGAUGCCCGCCAGUCCCGCCAUGCACCCGCACUCCUCAGCCCUUGGUGGGUUGAUGGCACCGGGUGCUGUGGAGCAGGGGGCGGAACUCAUCAGGGAGGUUCCGGCUGCACAGGAGCCCAUUGCUGGGGUGGGAGGGAGGCUCAGGCAUGGCGGGCUGCACGUCCCGAGCCCUUCCCCGCAGGGAGGCAGCUGAGUCCCUGUGAGAAUUCGAGUGCCGGCAGUGCUGGGGGACCGGGUGCACCCUCCACAGCUGCUGGCCCAGCUACUAAGCUCCUCACUGCCCGAGGCUGGUGGCGCCCGCUGGCGGCUCCGAGUGCGGGCUCGCCAAACCCACGCCCACCUGAAACUUGCGCUGGCCGGCAAGCGUGGUAUGCAGCCCCGGUUCCCGCCUGCGCCUCUCCCUCCACACCUUCCUGCAAGCUGAGGGAGCUGGCUCUGGCCUUGGCCAGCCCAGAAAGGGGCUCCCACAGUGCAGCGGCGGGAUGAAGGGCUCCUCAAGUGCGGCCAGAGUGGGCACCGAGGCCGAGGAGGCACCAAGAGCGAGCAAGGGCUGCGAGGGCUGCCAGCACGCUGUCACCUCUCAAUAUAACAUUUCUCCACUGCUUAAAAUCUAAUUUAUCCCUGGUUUCCUACUGUAAACAGAAUAAAAUCCUAACUUUUUAGUAUGAUCUAAAAAAUCCUUUAUGACAUAUUUAAACAGACACCACCAAAGAAGAUAUAGGCAUGACCAAUAGGCAUGUGAAAAGACACUCAACAUCAUUAGUCAUUCUGAAAUGCAAAUUAAAACCACAGUGAAAUAGCACUACACAGCUAUUAGAACGGCUACAAUUAAGAAGAUUCAUUGUAUCAAGUGUUGGCGAGGAUGUUGGGGAAAUGUAGGAAUGUAAAACUGUAUGGUAGGAAUGUAAAACAGUAUGAUUACUGCUGGUAGGAAUGUAAAACAGUAUGAUUACUUUGGAAAAUAGUUUGGCAAUUUCUUAUAAAGUUAAAGAUAUAUUUACCAUGGGCCCAGCCAUUCAACUCCUAGAUAUUACUUAAAAGUGAAAGCUUUUGUCCAGAAAAAGACUUGCACACAAAUGCUCAUGGAAAAUUUAUUUAUAAUAAUCGGAAGCUGGAAGCAAUCUAAAUAUUCAUUAAUGUCACAUUCAUUAAUAGUGAGUGGAUAAACACAUUCUUAUAUAUUCAUAUGAUGGAGUAGAGCAAUAAAAAGGGAUAAACUAUGGAUACCUGCAACUCUAUAGUUAUACUGAGUGAAAGAAAUCAGACAGAAAAGGAUGCAUACUGUGUGUAUUGGUUUGCUAAAACUGUCAUAACAAAGUACCAUAGACUAGGUAACUUGAACAACAGAACUUUGCUUUCUCAGAAUUCUGGAGGCUAGAAAUCGAAGAUCAAGGCCUUGACAGUGUUGGUUUCUUCUGAGGCCUCUCUCCUUGGCUUGUAGAGGCUGUCUUCCCACUGCGUCUUCACACGGUCUUCCCUCUGUGUCCAUGUUUUCUCUUCUCGUAAGGAUUCCAGCCAUGUAGGACUAGGGCCCACCCUAACGACCUCAUUUAACUUAAAUAUCCCUUUAAAGAUCCUGUCUGGAAUACAGUCACAUUCUGAGAUACUGGUCUGAGAUACUGGGGGUUAGGACAUCAACCUAUGAGUUUUGAAGGAACACAAUUCAUCCUAUAACAUGGUGUGAUGACAUUUAAUAAAAUUUUAGAAACUGCAACCCAAUUUA